UUGGGACAAGGAUGUAAUUACCUUUAAAUCCGAACAAAGCCCUUCCCCCCCUCUCACACACACACAUGUAUCC